rnacentral:rRNA from 1 species
UACGUAGGGUGCAAGCGUUGUCCGGAAUUAUUGGGCGUAAAGAGCUCGUAGGCGGUCUGUCGCGUCGGAUGUGAAAAUCCAGGGCUCAACCCUGGACCUGCAUUCGAUACGGGCAGACUAGAGUUCGGUAGGGGAGACUGGAAUUCCUGGUGUAGCGGUGAAAUGCGCAGAUAUCAGGAGGAACACCGGUGGCGAAGGCGGGUCUCUGGGCCGAAACUGACGCUGAAGAGCGAAAGCGUGGGGAGCGAACAGG